rnacentral:rRNA from 1 species
UGGGGAAUCUUGCGCAAUGGACGAAAGUCUGACGCAGCGACGCCGCGUGGGCGACGAAGGCCUUCGGGUUGUAAAGCCCUGUGGGGAGGGACGAACACACUCUAUUCGAACAGGGUAGGGUGUUGACGGUACCUCCUUAGCAAGCACCGGCUAACUCUGUGCCAGCAGCCGCGGUAAGACAGAGGGUGCAAACGUUGCUCGGAAUUACUGGGCGUAAAGCGCGUGUAGGCGGUUUCGCAAGUCAGGUGUGAAAGCCCGGGGCUCAACCCCGGAAGUGCACUUGAUACUACGGAGCUGGAGUACUGAAGAGGAGAGCGGAAUUCCCGGUGUAGAGGUGAAAUUCGUAGAUAUCGGGAGGAACACCAGUGGCGAAGGCGGCUCUCUGGGCAGAUACUGACGCUGAGACGCGAAAGCAUGGGGAGCAAACAGGAUUAGAUACCCCCGUAGUCC